UACGAGAGGCCCAAACGUUAUUCGGAAUUACUGGGCUUAAAGAGUUCGUAGGCGGCAUUGCAAGUAGGGUGUGAAAGCCCUCGGCUCAACCGAGGAAUUGCGCUCUAAACUGCAGUGCUCGAGGAAGCUAGAGGUGAGCAGAACAGAUGGUGGAGCGGUGAAAUCCGUUGAUAUUAUGGGGAACACCAAAAGCGAAGGCAAUUCACUGGCGCACUUCCUGACACUGAAACACGAAAGCGUGGGUAGCGAAUGGG
rnacentral:rRNA from 1 species